UCAGGACGAUACAACACCUACAUUGUGGUGACGGCGGCAGGGCGUGAUUGGCAAAUCUGGUUUUUGGAAAAGUACUUCUGCAGUGUAUGGCUACCACUGUGCCCCAUAAGCAGCACAGCCUCUUCCCAGCUUAUGAAGUCAUAGGUGAGACCUUCUCAUGUGCUGGACUGAUGUACCGGCGUACAGCUUCUGAUGCACUACACGGCCGUGCAGGACCUAGAGAUACAGCAUCAGGACGACUACGACAACAGCUACAUCGUGGUGACGGCGACAGGGCGUGAUUGGCAG
rnacentral:lncRNA from 1 species